rnacentral:rRNA from 1 species
CCUACGGGUGGCAGCAGUGGGGGAUAUUGCACAAUGGAGGGAACCCUGAUGCAGCGACGCCGCGUGGAUGAAGAAGCGCCUCGGCGCGUAAAGCCCUGUCAGCAGGGAAGAAAACGACGGUACCUGAAGAAGAAGCCACGGCUAACUACGUGCCAGCAGCCGCGGUAAUGCGUAGGGGGCCAGCGUUAUCCGGAUUUACUGGGUGUAAAGGGGGCGCAGGCGGCGUUGCAAGCCAGAAGUGAAAGCCCGGGGCCCAACCCCGGGACUGCUCUUGGAACUGCGUGGCUGGAGUGCAGGAGGGGCAGGCGGAAUGCCUGGUGUAGCGGUGAAAUGCGUAGAUAUCAUGCGGAACACCGGUGGCGAAGGCGGCCUGCUGGACUGCAACUGACGUUGAGGCCCGAAAGCGUGGGUAGCAAACAGGAUUAGAUACCCUUGUAGUC